UACGUAGGGCGCAAGCGUUAUCCGGAAUUAUUGGGCGUAAAGAGCUCGUAGGCGGUCUGCCGCGUCUGCUGUGAAAACCUAGGGCUUAACUCUGGGCGUGCAGUGGGUACGGGCAGGCUAGAGUGCGGUAGGGGAGACUGGAAUUCCUGGUGUAGCGGUGAAAUGCGCAGAUAUCAGGAGGAACACCGGUGGCGAAGGCGGGUCUCUGGGCCGUAACUGACGCUGAGGAGCGAAAGCAUGGGGGAGCGAACAAG
rnacentral:rRNA from 1 species